ACUCCUACGGGAGGCAGCAGUAGGGAAUCUUCCACAAUGGGCGCAAGCCUGAUGGAGCAACACCGCGUGAGUGAAGAAGGGUUUCGGCUCGUAAAGCUCUGUUGUUAAAGAAGAACACGUAUGAGAGUAACUGUUCAUACGUUGACGGUAUUUAACCAGAAAGUCACGGCUAACUACGUGCCAGCAGCCGCGGUAAUACGUAGGUGGCAAGCGUUAUCCGGAUUUAUUGGGGCGUAAAGAGAGUGCAGGCGGUUUUCUAAGUCUGAUGUGAAAGCCUUCGGCUUAACCGGAGAAGUGCAUCGGAAACUGGAUAACUUGAGUGCAGAAGAGGGUAGUGGAACUCCAUGGUGUAGCGGUGGAAUGCGUAGAUAUAUGGAAGAACACCAGUGGCGAAGGCGGCUACCUGGUCUGCAACUGACGCUGAGACUCGAAAGCAUGGGUAGCGAACAGGAUUAGAUACCCUGGUAGGAUAGCG
rnacentral:rRNA from 1 species